CCUACGGGAGGCUGCACUUCCAUUUGGGCCCGUGUUACGAGGCCACCGGCCAGCAUGACAAGGCCCGCACGUCUUUUACCAGGGCCUAUGAACUGGAUACAUUCCGAUCGCGGGCGCCCGCUUUCAUCAACGAGACGAUUCGAGAAGUAGCGCGCGAGUUCUCGGCCUCCGGCGUACAUCUGAUCGACACGCUGCGAAGCCUUGAGGCGCAGAGCCCGCACGGUCUCGUUGGCAAGGACCUUAUCUAUGACGACGUGCACCUGACGUU
rnacentral:rRNA from 1 species